rnacentral:rRNA from 1 species
AACGAACGCUGGCGGCAUGCCUAACACAUGCAGGUCGAACGAAGGCUUCGGCCUUAGUGGCGCACGGGUGCGUAACGCGUGGGAAUCUGCCCUUUGGUUCGGAAUAACAGCUGGAAACGGCUGCUAAUACCGGAUGAUGACGAAAGUCCAAAGAUUUAUCGCCAGAGGAUGAGCCCGCGUUGGAUUAGGUAGUUGGUGGGGUAAAGGCCUACCAAGCCGACGAUCCAUAGCUGGUCUGAGAGGAUGAUCAGCCACACUGGGACUGAGACACGGCCCAGACUCCUACGGAAGGCAGCAGUGGGGAAUAUUGGACAAUGGGCGCAAGCCUGAUCCAGCAAUGCCGCGUGAGUGAUGAAGGCCCUAGGGUUGUAAAGCUCUUUUACCCGGGAAGAUAAUGACUGUACCGGGAGAAUAAGCCCCGGCUAACUCCGUG